CCUUGCUGGGUUUUGGACAGGGUUUGCAAGGACUUUGAAGUUGACCCGGUUGGAGUCGUACCCUUUCAUAUUUGCCAAGAAACUCCGGGCAAGAAACCUUAAUUCCAAGCAGGUGUCUCCUCGUUCACAAAGUGGGGAUAAAGAUAUUCCGUAGAGUUAACGUGAAGAGCGAUGAAAUCAUUGUGAAAUAAGAGUGACUGGACUUCAUGCGUUGGACUUUUUUUUAUAACCUGCCCUACACUGUGGGGAACUGUUCAACAAUAAAGCCUGCAAACGAAGUCUCUGUCAUAAGUAGGCUGACAUUUUAAUUGGAAGAGAUGAAUUUAAACGAUAUAUGCAUCAUCAUUAACAUACAAACUCAGGAUGUUCCUCCAAGGCAAGAUGAGCUCACAGACCUGUAUCACCUGGCCAGAAUCAUAAACUGGAGACAACCUGACUCACAAAACCAUGAUUAAGAAAUGUAAGAAGACUGUGAUUAACCCCAGUUUCUUUGUUCUUCCCCUUUAAAAAGUCCCUAACUCAAAGACCAAGAUGGGGUGGAUCUGAGAUCUAUCUCCCACUUUCUUGCUUGGCACCCUGCAAAUAAACCCGUACUUUGCUGCAAA